rnacentral:rRNA from 1 species
GCCUAUAGAACAGCCUUAAUGCACUGGAUCCCCUUAGAAAUCCGUAGUUAAGUGUGCCCAAGCUAGAGUAGUACUAGGAUGGUUGACGUCCCUAGAAUUCCUAGUGCUUUAUAUGCC